GAAAUUCAAACCUCCAAUGUAUUUUGCUAGAGGGUUUAUUCAUCUGUGAACUGUGAUGCCUGGAAAACGGAGAAACGGAGUCACCUGGGAUGCAGAGAUAAGGUGUAUGAAGAUGUCAGGCAUGCAGGCUGUUCUCAGCACCAUGGCACCUUGAAGAUGCUGUCAGUGAUUUCACAUUGUCCCCAAGAAAGAAAUCUGCCCAUGUCCAUCACGUAUCUCUGAAGACGUGCACUCUUACAAACCUGUAUGCUUUACUGGGUGCUUCUCUAGACUGCAUUCUGAAGACUGAAUGGGUCUGCAUGUUUGUAACAGGCCAGCCGGUCCACAGCAGCACUGAAGGUGUUCAUCAGGAAAUCCUCCAUGGCUGUACCUGAACAUAACAGUUACAACAAGCCUCUGUGAAAAACAGGACGAGAGCCCGGGGCCAGCGCCACCAGCACAGAAUGGUGCAGAGACCUCUCUAUAUCUCACAGCAGCACACGGAAAUCCCCAGACAUGCAGCUGUUCCAUGGACCUGUAAACCGCUGUCAGGUACUCACCCUUCUCAAGGCAAGCAAUUUCCCCUUCCACUUUGGGAAGUGGUGAGUAGAUGUUUGUGCUCCUUACAAAAUUACAGGCUCAUGUAGGGCUGAGCCCCUGCAGAAUGUCCACAGUAGAUUAGCUUC